UACGUAGGGACCGAGCGUUGUCCGGAUUCAUUGGGCGUAAAGAGCUCGUAGGCGGCUUGUCGCGUCGGAUGUGAAAGCCCGGGGCUUAACUCCGGGUCUGCAUUCGAUACGGGCAGGCUAGAGUUCGGUAGGGGAGAUCGGAAUUCCUGGUGUAGCGGUGAAAUGCGCAGAUAUCAGGAGGAACACCGGUGGCGAAGGCGGAUCUCUGGGCCGAUACUGACGCUGAGGAGCGAAAGCGUGGGGAGCGAACAGG
rnacentral:rRNA from 1 species